rfam:Neonectria ditissima strain R09/05 contig_251, whole genome shotgun sequence.
UAAAAGUUGAGUUUGGUGAUGGCUCUGAUUGAAUGCUGUCCAAGUGCUUGACACAUGCUAAUCGUACGUUUUAAUUGUGCGUGUUAUGAAUCCAAAAAAAUUCAUUCAUGCUUAAUUAAAAAGUGGUGUACAGGUGAGUAUAAUGAUAUUCUUCGCCGGCCUUAAAGUGGAGGCAAAUCCUCCAUAAUAAAUAAAGGAAUGAUAGGGCGAAUCAAUACUGGUUUAACCGUUAUUGUUUCCCCUUUAUGUUCCGCUUUAAGAGGAUAAUAAAUAUCUUCGAGAUAGGUAGUAGUUAAGGUGAUGACUUAACUAGCCUUAGACUCUCGUAGUCGAAGCUGAAAGGUUGAUCGACCACAUUGGGUCUGAAAAAACCCCAAUGCAAGUUAGUACAGCAGUGAGGAAUCUUGGUCAAUGGCCUAACGGCUGAACUGGCAACUUGGAGAAGUGGCAAGUUUUAUAAUUAAUAGUAAUGAAGGCGCAAGCUCUUCUAUUUUUAUAAGAUUCUAUUAGAAUUGAAUGAAGCUUUGUUUAUAUAUUGAUAAUGACAGUAUAUAUAUCGUGUCUUGACUAAUUGCGUGCCAGCAGUCGCGGUAAUACGUAAGAGACUAGUGUUAUUCAUCUUAAUUAGGUUUAAAGGGUACCCAGACGGUCAAUAUAGCUUCUACAAUGUUAGUACUUGACUAGAGUUUUAUGUAAGAGGGCAGUACUUGAGGAGGAGAGAUGAAAUUUCGUGAUACCAAAGGGACUCUGUAAAGGCGAAGGCAGCCCUCUAUGUAGAAACUGACGUUGAAGGACGAAGGCACAGAGAACAAACAGGAUUAGAUACCCAAGUAGUCUUUGCAGUAAAUGAUGAAUGCCAUAGGUCAGAUCUAUAGUUAAUGCUCUGCGGUGAAAACAUGCCAGGAUUGAAUCUAUCGAACCUGUGCUAGAUUUUUUUGUCUGCUGGAUCUUUCGAAACAUGCUAUAAAAAAUAAGAAGCCUGUAUACAUUAAAAUAAUUUGGUCUAUAAAUGAAAGUGUAAGCAUUUCACCUCAAGAGUAAUGUGGCAACGCAGGAACUGAAAUCACUAGACCGUUUCUGACACCAGUAGUGAAGUAUGUUGUUUAAUUCGAUGAUCCACGAAAAACCUUACCACAAUUUGAAUAAUUUUAUUACAGGAGUUGCACGGCUGUUUCCAGUUAAUGUUGUGAAACUGUGGUUUCCAUGGAAUUAACGUAAUCCCUGGCUUUAUUUUUGUAAACUUAAUACAGUUAUUACGAUAAAGCAUUCGAUCCUGAAAAUUUGGAAAGAGAAAGGGGACAAAGACAAGUCAUCAUGGCCUUGAUAUUGUGGGCUAUAGACGUGCCACAUAUACCUAAACAAAGAGAUGCAAAAAUGUGAAUUUAAGCUAAUCUCAAAAAAUAGGAUAUAAAUUUUAAGGAUUAUAGUCUGAAAUUCGACUAUAUGAAUAAGUAAUUACUAGUAAUCGUGAAUCACCAUGUCACGGUGAAUAGACCUUGGAUUGGUACUAACCACUCGUCACAUGCUGAAAGGAGCAUGCGCAAUAAGUUUGCUUUCUUAGUAACAAGUAAAAAAAACAAGUAAGUUUUAUAUAUUCUUUUAUUGGGAAUCUUCGUAUGCGUGGCUCUAAUUAGUGUUAAGUCGAAAUACGGUUCGCGUAGUGGAAGUUGCGCGGGAUUAAUUAAUUUU